UGGCGAGUUGGUUAAGCUCCAACCCAUGUGAACAUACCUAUCGUUGCCUCGGCAGGUCGUGCUGCGCGGCAGGAUCGCACCCCCGCGGGGAGCAGCUACCCUGUAGCAGCUACCCUGUAGCGGGGUCGCCUACCCCGCAGCACGCUGUAAGGCCUGCCGAAGGACCCCUAAACUCUGUAUUAUACUGUAUCUCUGAGGCUAUGUGGGAAAUAAGUUAAAACUUUCAACAACGGAUCUCUUGGUUCUGGCAUCGAUGAAGAACGCAGCGAAAUGCGAUAAGUAAUGUGAAUUGCAGAAUUCAGUGAAUCAUCGAAUCUUUGAACGCACAUUGCGCCUAAUAGUAUUCUGUUAGGCAUGCCUGUUCGAGCGUCAUUUCAACCCCCAAGCCCUAUUUGCUUGACGUUGGGAGUUUACGGAGACGUAAUUCCUCAAAUAUAGUGGCGGAGCUAGGUCUCGUGCUCUGAGCGUAGUAGCUAAAACCUCGCUUCUGUAGCCGGCCCGGGUCCUGCCGUAAAACCCCCUAUAUUUUCUCAUGGUUGACCUCGGAUCAGGUAGGAAUACCCGCUGAACUUAAGCAUAUCAUAGA
rnacentral:rRNA from 1 species